CACCACAAUAGGCAGGCAGAUGGUUCUGUCACACCUUGCUUCAAGUAACGGGAAAUCAGUGAAGGGACAUUAUGGACAAUGUUAUGCUUUCAACUUUGUGGGAACAGUUUGGGGAGGGUCCUUUUCUAUUCCAACAUGACUGUGCCCCCGUGCAUAAAGCAAGGUCCAUAAAGACAUGGUUGGAUGAGUUUGGUGUGGAAGAACUCGACUGGCCCACACAGAGUCCUGACCUCAAC